UACGUAGGUCCCGAGCGUUGUCCGGAUUUAUUGGGCGUAAAGCGAGCGCAGGUGGUUUAUUAAGUCUGGUGUAAAAGGCAGUGGCUCAACCAUUGUAUGCAUUGGAAACUGGUAGACUUGAGUGCAGGAGAGGAGAGUGGAAUUCCAUGUGUAGCGGUGAAAUGCGUAAAUAUAUGGAGGAACACCGGUGACGAAAGCGGCUCUCUGGCCUGUAACUGACACUGAGGCUCGAAAGCGUGGGGAGCAAACAGG
rnacentral:rRNA from 1 species